AACGCUGGCGGCUUGCUUAACACAUGCAAGUCGUACGAGAAAGUCUUCUUCGGAAGGCGAGUAAAGUGGCGAACGGGUGAGUAACACGUAAGAAUCUACCCUUUGGUCUGGGAUAACGUCGCGAAAGUGGUGCUAAUACCGGAUAAUAUCCACGGAUCAAAGAGGGCUUUGCCCUCACCAGAGGAGGAGCUUGCGCCCCAUUAGCUAGUUGGUGAGGUAAUGGCUCACCAAGGCUCCGAUGGGUAGCCGGCCUGAGAGGGUGUACGGCCACACUGGAACUGAGACACGGUCCAGACUCCUACGGGAGGCAGCAGUGGGGAAUAUUGGUCAAUGGGCGAAAGCCUGAACCAGCAAUGCCGUGUGGGUGAUGAAGCUUCUAGGAGUGUAAAACCCUUUUAUGAGGGAAGAACGAAAUGCGGUUAAUAUCUGUAUUUCUUGACGGUACCUCAUGAAUAAGCCCCGGCUAACUCCGUGCCAGCAGCCGCGGUAACACGGAGGGGGCAAGCGUUGUUCGGAAUUACUGGGCGUAAAGGGCGUGUAGGCGGCCUAGCAGGUCAGAUGUGAAAUCCCCGGGCUCAACUCGGGAACUGCGUUUGAAACCGUUAGGCUUGAGGCUAGGAGAGGAAAGCGGAAUUCCUGGUGUAGCGGUGAAAUGCGUAGAUAUCAGGAGGAACACCGGUGGCGAAAGCGGCUUUCUGGACUAGUUCUGACGCUGAGGCGCGAAAGCGUGGGGAGCGAACGGGAUUAGAUACCCUGGUAGUCCACGCUGUAAACGAUGGGUACUAGGUGUUGGUUGUAAUGAUCAGCGCCGGAGCAAACGCAUUAAGUACCCCGCCUGGGGAAUACGGUCGCAAGACUGAAACUCAAAGGAAUUGACGGGGGCCCGCACAAGCGGUGGAGCAUGUGGUUUAAUUCGAUGCAACGCGAAGAACCUUACCUGGGCUUGAACUGCAGGUGCUAUCUCCUGAAAGGGAGUUUCCUUCGGGACGCCUGUAGAGGUGCUGCAUGGCUGUCGUCAGCUCGUGCUGUGAGGUGUUGGGUUAAGUCCCGCAACGAGCGCAACCCCUGUCCCUAGUUGCCAUCAGGUCAAGCUGGGAACUCUAGGGGGACUGCCCCGGAUAACGGGGAGGAAGGUGGGGAUGACGUCAAGUCAUCAUGGCCCUUACGUCCAGGGCUACACACGUGCUACAAUGGCCGGUACAACGGGUAGCGAGACAGCGAUGUGGAGCAAAUCCCUUAAAACCGGUCUCAGUUCAGAUUGCAGUCUGCAGCCCGACUGCAUGAAGUUGGAAUCGCUAGUAAUCGCGGAUCAGCAUGCCGCGGUGAUACGUUCCCGGGCCUUGUACACACCGCCCGUCACGCCAUGGGAGUCGGUAGCACCCGGAGCCGGUGGCCCAAUCCUGCUUGCAGGAGGG
rnacentral:rRNA from 1 species